rnacentral:rRNA from 1 species
UACAGAGGUCCCGAGCGUUGUUCGGAUUCACUGGGCGUAAAGGGUGCGUAGGCGGUCGGGUAAGUCUGACGUGAAAUCUCCGGGCCUAACCCGGAAACUGCGUCGGAUACUAUCCGGCUAGAGGAUUGGAAGGGAGACUGGAAUACUUGGUGUAGCAGUGAAAUGCGUAGAUAUCAAGUGGAACACCAGUGGCGAAGGCGAGUCUCUGGACAAUUCCUGACGCUGAGGCACGAAAGCCAGGGGAGCAAACGGG